rnacentral:rRNA from 1 species
UGGGGAAUUUUGGACAAUGGGCGAAAGCCUGAUCCAGCAAUGCCGCGUGCAGGAUGAAGGCCUUCGGGUUGUAAACUGCUUUUGUACGGAACGAAACGGUCUCUCUUAAUACGGGGGGCUAAUGACGGUACCGUAAGAAUAAGCACCGGCUAACUACGUGCCAGCAGCCGCGGUAAUACGUAGGGUGCAAGCGUUGUCCGGAAUUAUUGGGCGUAAAGAGCUCGUAGGUGGUUCGAUACGUCGGAUGUGAAAAUCAGGGGCUCAACCCCUGACCUGCAUCCGAUACGGUCGAGCUAGAGUUUGGUAGGGGAGACUGGAAUUCCUGGUGUAGCGGUGGAAUGCGCAGAUAUCAGGAGGAACACCGAUGGCGAAGGCAGGUCUCUGGGCAACUACUGACGCUGAGGAGCGAAAGCGUGGGGAGCAAACAGG